UAUAUAAAGCUAGGUCUAAAGAUUAAAAACAACCAACAACUACAAGGAAAAUAAGAAUGCAAGAUUAAGAUCAAACAACAAUUACAGCAAGGAAAACAAGGGAAGAUGACUGCUGAAAGACAACGUAAAGAUGAAUACAACUUUAUUAAGGAUUUGAAGUUAUAUCAAGAAUCUUUCUCAAUCAAAGUGCUUAUACUAAAAGUGUCCUUGGAGCAAUUCUCAUCGUCAAAAGGUUCAGGUCAGGUUCAAAAGAUUAUUGUGAUUGACGAAGAGGGAACAAAGAUUCAAGCCACACUAUUCAAUGCUACAAUAGCA